rnacentral:rRNA from 1 species
GCCGCGGUAUUUUGACCGUGCAAAGGUAGCAUAAUCAUUAGUUUAUUAAUUGUGGACUUGUAUGAAUGGUUGGACGAAAUAUUAACUGUCUCAUUUUAAUUUUUAGAAUUUAAUUUUUUAGUCAAAAAGCUUAAAUUUUUUUGUAGGACGAGAAGACCCUAUAGAUCUUUAUUAUUUUUAUUUAUAUUUGUUUUGGUUUAUUUAUUUAUAUUAAUAUUUGUUUUUUUGUUGGGGUGACAAGGGGAAAUAAUUAACUCUUUAUAUUUAUAUUCAUUUAUUUUUGUUUAUUUGACCUUUUAUUAUUGUUUAUAAGAUUUAGAUACCUUAGGGAUAACAGCGUAAUGUUUUUUGAGAGUUCUUAUCGACAAAAAAGAUUGCGACCUCGAUGUUGGAUUAAGAUUAUAUUUGGGUGUAGGUGCUCAAUUAUUAGGUCUGUUCGACCUUUAAAUUCUUACAUGAUCUGAGU